rnacentral:lncRNA from 1 species
UGCUAGACUUGUUCCUUUGGAUGCAGUUGUCAGUUUGAACCUGUUGAACCCCUCUCAAUCUAACUGAUUUGGAAAGUUUGGAAGACUGAGGUGAAUAGUUUCUCACUAAAUAAAAAAUGAUUGGGCUAAUUGAUUUAGGUUAAUUUGUGAUUGGAGGCAAUUUUAUAGGGAAAUUUGCUUCACUUAUAUGCCAGAAUGGUUUUUUUAGAUAUUUGAUCUAAACUGAUUUAGAAAAUUUGGAAGACUGAAAUGAAUAGUUUCUCACCAAAUAAAAAUGAUUGAGCUAAUUGGUUUUUAGGUUAAUUUGUGAUUGGAGGCAGCUUUAAGGGAGAUUUACUUUACAAGGAUGCGAGAAUGUGGUUUUUAUUGGAUAUCAAUGUCACAUUGGUUUUUGUUUGGAUUAUGUGGUUGCAUAUACUGGAGAUGAAAGUACGCUAUUCUACAUUCUAAUGCUAGAUUUGAGGAAGCAUUUGUGGAGAUACUUUGUUAUUCUUCUGAAAUAAUUUGUUUUUCACUUUUGGGGUUGUUGGGGCUGGGGGGUGGGGGGGGGAGGGGGGGGAGGAGGGUAGGGGAGAAGAAAAAUAGCUCAGGUGGGUGCAUGCAACUUGAAUACUUCUUUUGCCACCUUCAAACAUGGAUUCUUAUAAAAGAGCAAGUGAUGCCUUUUUUUUCAAUUAACAAAACACCAUGGAUCUUUUAGAAUUUCUUUAAACUUCGAAUACACUCCAUGUUUCUCAUUUCAGUUCCAGUCGUCAAAGAUAAACUAUUGGACUACUCGUCAAAAAAAAAAAAAGCAAUUGGACUGAUGGAUGUGUUGCAUUUUAUAUUGUAUUUCCAG